rnacentral:lncRNA from 1 species
UCAGGAACAAAUUUCACAAUUCAUCAAUGAAACAAUCCAGACAUGAAACAAUAGAGACUGAAAUUAAUCAAAACAACUAACAAAAUCACGAAACCUUUAUAAAAUGUGCAUGCAUUCAAAGUAGCUAUUAAAAACAAAAGCAAAAAUGGACAAUACACCAUUUGUUGUCUCUGGCAACACUUUUUUAGGAGACAUGUUAAAAUUGUCCCCUAAAAGUCUCUAAGGCAUCGAUUUAUGAGUGUUGCCAAAAUUAUUUUCGCAACCACUGAAAAACAUCUCCUAAAAUAUUUUAGGGGACGAUUUUGGAGCGUUGCACUAUUAUUUCUUGGGUGACAACCAUUAAUCGUCCCCUUAGAUACUUUUGGGGACGAUUUUGGAGCGUUACACUAUUAUAUCUUUGGUGACAACCAUUAAUUGUCCCCUUAAAUACUUUUGGGGACAAUUUUAGAUUGUUGCAUAAAAAUUUCACCAACAUCAAAUUUUUUGGGGGAAUAUUCUCUCCAAGCUUGUUUACAAAAAAAAAAAUCUAAAAUUGGCUUAGCUAGGAGUUGAACAUGCAACCUCUUAUGGAGAGAAGACAUCCUUUUUAUUUGGGGAAUUAGUCACUUUAGUCCCUGAAUGGGAAAUGAGUAGUCACUUUAGUCCCUGAAUGCAGAGAAAUUGCAAAACAGUCCCUGGAUGUAGACUCUGUUGGUCAAUUUCAGGGACUAAAGUGACGAACGCAGUCUACAUUUAGGGACUAAUUUAAUUAACAGAGUCUACAUUCAGGGAUUAUUUUGCAAUUUAUCUGCAUUCAAGGACUAAAGUGACGACUUCUUUCCUAUUUAGAGACUAAAGUGACUAAUUCCCCAUUUUUAUUUUUAUUUGUUGUGAUUUAGUGAUCCAGAUUAAUGUAAUUCAACCUAGUUUAAUAAAAGUACACAUUUUUUAUAGAGACCGAGUUAUAAAUAUUAUUUAUCAAGUUUAAUCUAGUUCAAUCAUGUUGUUCAACCAAUGACCUAGUGGUUAAAUUAUUGACUCCGUGACGUAGUGACCUUACUGUGUCGACAACCGGUCCGAAUUUUAAAACCAUGUAUCUAACACAUAAUAAUAAUAAUAAUAAUAAUAAUAAUAAUAAUAUAAGAGUAUAUUUUACGGGUAGAAUUAAUAAAAUUUGGUAAUUUUUUUUUAAUAAAAGUCAGCCCAAAAAGUGCUGAAAUGAGUUAUUUUCUUUAGGGGAGUUCUACGGUACAUCUCAUAAAUUGAGGUGUACCGGUACUCCUACUUCAAAAAUUUAUAACUUAACGGUUAUUUUAUGAGAUAAAGAGUUAUUUAUCGAUAUUUAUAUUUUAGAAAUUAGAAUUUAUGGCUUUUUAUUAGUCUAUAUUAGUGCUUCGUAAAUUUGUUUGGGAACUGAAAAGUUUUUCGUUUGAUUUAUCUUCUCGGAAAGCCAAAUAUUAAUCGAGUAGAGAUGGAAUGGUGUUCCCUAUCAAAGGAAGCGCAUUCAUGUAUUAAUUUUCCUUAAUUAAUUAACGUAAUGGCAAGGAAUUUGAGGAGAGAGAAGCUUGAAGUUUCACCGGAGACUAUAGAGAAAACGGAAGUUAUAAUGAGAGAGAAUUGAGAUUACUAAUUUGAGGUUCUCACAAUCAGAGAUUUGAGGACUUGAAUCAAUUUGAGAUCGAUUGAAAAUUGUCGAUUAAUCAUCAAAUGUUGCUCCAAGUAUACAAUCAUCAAAUGCUUAACAUAGUAAAUCAAUUGUACAAUCACAUUCUAGUGCAUCUUUUGAGAAUUUUUGUCAUCUACUCCAUCCGUCUUAAAAUAUAUAAGCAAAAAAAUCUCAUAUUUUUUAUCUCAAAAUAUAAGCAAAAAAAAACCAACUUUUAUGCCAUUAUUAUAUUUUUUCAAACAAAUCAUUUUUUCAAUGUAAAAUUCAAUGCAAAUUGCAUUCAAUUUGUUUUCCUUUUUAUUUUCUCCAUAAUUUUUAACCAAUGAUCUUUUCAUGAAACUUAUUUCAAAGAUAACACAAAAAAUUAUACUUCAAAUUACUAAAUGUUAGUUUUCUUAAUAAGUGAGAAUUAAUAUUUUUUUUCUUAUAAAUUAGAACGGAGGGAGUAUGUCAUCGACAAAACAUAACAAAUAAACCAGAACACAAACUACCUCUCCAGAGGCAGAGGAACAGCAGCGGGGACGACCGCGACUAAUCCAAUCAGGCACCAUAAUCAGUCCAUACACUUUCUAGUGGUUAAUCAGUCCUAAUAUUAAGGUUAUUAUCAACAAGAUCAUGCAUCACCAUCGCAUGAAAUAGCCACAAGACUGAGAAAUCAAUAAUGAAAUAUCUAUCCAAUCAUACAUUAUAUUUUAGAAAUCACCAAUAACAAGCAACCAAAUCACACAAACUUUCUAUGAAAUUCAAAUUCAGCACAACAUAACCAAAAACCCUAUAUAUUACCUCCUCCAAUACCAUGUCAAUACACCAGAAGCAAAAUAUUGACACCAUUUCAAUACACCAAUAACAUAACCAAAACCUUGUAUAUUGCAGCUUCACUGGGGCGUGAUGGUUGAUGCUAUUCCUUGAUCAUGAUUUUAAUUUCUUGUUGUCCUUUACGAUGUCCUUUCUUUGAUGGUUUAUUGGUGACAUCAUCCUGUUGUUCUAUUUCAACAUCGAGUGUGAUUUCUUUGAUUAAAAAUGUUACAUAUUCUAAAUGGAUUAGAUUCAAGU